UACGGAGGGGGCUAGCGUUGUUCGGAAUUACUGGGCGUAAAGUGCACGUAGGCGGCUUUGUAAGUUAGAGGUGAAAGCCCCAGGGCUUAACCCUGGAAUUGCCUUUAAGACUGCAUCGCUAGAAUUGUGGAGAGGUAAGUGGAAUUCCGAGUGUAGAGGUGAAAUUCGUAGAUAUUCGGAAGAACACCAGUGGCGAAGGCGACUUACUGGACACAUAUUGACGCUGAGGUGCGAAAGCGUGGGGAGCAAACAGG
rnacentral:rRNA from 1 species